rnacentral:rRNA from 1 species
CCUACGGGAGGCAGCAGUAGGGAAUCUUCCACAAUGGACGAAAGUCUGAUGGAGCAACGCCGCGUGAGUGAUGAAGGUUUUAGGAUCGUAAAACUCUGUUGUAAGGGAAGAACAAGUGCGUUAGGUAAUGAACGCACCUUGACGGUACCUUAUUAGAAAGCCACGGCUAACUACGUGCCAGCAGCCGCGGUAAUACGUAGGUGGCAAGCGUUGUCCGGAUUUAUUGGGCGUAAAGCGCGCGCAGGUGGUUUCUUAAGUCUGAUGUGAAAGCCCACGGCUCAACCGUGGAGGGUCAUUGGAAACUGGGAGACUUGAGUGCAGAAGAGGAUAGUGGAAUUCCAAGUGUAGCGGUGAAAUGCGUAGAGAUUUGGAGGAACACCAGUGGCGAAGGCGACUGUCUGGUCUGUAACUGACACUGAGGCGCGAAAGCGUGGGGAGCAAACAGGAUUAGAUACCCUGGUAGUCCACGCCGUAAACGAUGAGUGCUAAGUGUUAGGGGGUUUCCGCCCCUUAGUGCUGCAGCUAACGCAUUAAGCACUCCGCCUGGGGAG